CCUACGGGUGGCUGCAGUGAGGAAUAUUGGUCAAUGGGCGCGAGCCUGAACCAGCCAAGUAGCGUGAAGGAUGACUGCCCUACGGGUUGUAAACUUCUUUUGUAAGAGAGUAAAGUGAGGCACGUGUGCCUUUUUGUAUGUACUUUAUGAAUAAGGAUCGGCUAACUCCGUGCCAGCAGCCGCGGUAAUACGGAGGAUCCAAGCGUUAUCCGGAUUUAUUGGGUUUAAAGGGAGCGUAGAUGGGUGGUUAAGUCAGUUGUGAAAGCUUGAGGCUCAACCGUAAAAUUGCAAUUGAUACUGGCAGGCUAGAGUAUAGUUGAGGUAGGCGGAAUGCGUGGUGUAGCGGUGAAAUGCUUAGAUAUCAUGCAGAACUCCGAUUGCGAAGGCAGCUUACUAAACUGCCACUGACAUUGAUGCUCGAAAGCGUGGGUAUCAAACAGGAUUAGAUACCCUUGUAGUC
rnacentral:rRNA from 1 species